rnacentral:rRNA from 1 species
AGAGUUUGAUCAUGGCUCAGAAUGAGGACGCCUAAUACAUGCAAGUCGAGCGAGAAGACGUAGCAAUACGUUUGUAAAGCGGCGAACGGGUGAGGAAUACAUGGGUAACCUACCCUUGAGUGGGGAAUAACUAGCCGAAAGGUUAGCUAAUACCGCGUACGCUCCUUGGACUUCGGUUCAGGGAGGAAAGCGCUGCCGAGGGCAGCGCGCUCUUGGAUGGGCUCAUGUCCUAUCAGCUUGUUGGUGAGGUAACGGCUCACCAAGGCUUCGACGGGUAGCUGGUCUGAGAGGACGAUCAGCCACACUGGCACUGCGACACGGGCCAGACUCCUACGGGAGGCAGCAGUAAGGAAUAUUGCGCAAUGGGCGAAAGCUGACGCAGCGACGCCGCGUGGGGGAUGAAGGUCUUCGGAUUGUAAACCCCUUUCGGGAGGGAAGAUGGAAUGGGGUAACCCAUUCGGACGGUACCUCCAGAAGCAGCCACGGCUAACUUCGUGCCAGCAGCCGCGGUAAUACGAAGGUGGCAAGCGUUAUUCGGAUUUACUGGGGUACAGGGAGCGUAGCGGCGGUAAGCCCUUUGUGAAUCUCCAGGCUUAACCUGGAACAGUCGGAGGGACUGCGGGCUAUAGGACGGGAGAGGAGCGCG